rnacentral:rRNA from 1 species
AUGCCUACGGGGCGCAGCAGUGGGGAAUAUUGGGCAAUGGGCGCAAGCCUGACCCAGCAACGCCGCGUGAAGGAAGAAGGCUUUCGGGUUGUAAACUUCUUUUAUGAGGGACGAAACAAAUGACGGUACCUCAUGAAUAAGCCACGGCUAACUACGUGCCAGCAACCGCGGUAAUACGUAGGUGGCAAGCGUUAUCCGGAUUUACUGGGUGUAAAGGGCGUGUAGGCGGGACUGCAAGUCAGAUGUGAAAAUUAUGGGCACAACCCAUAACCUGCAUUUGAAAUUGUAGUUCUUGAGUGAUGGAG